rnacentral:rRNA from 1 species
UGGGGAAUUUUGGACAAUGGGCGAAAGCCUGAUCCAGCAAUGCCGCGUGUGUGAAGAAGGCCUUCGGGUUGUAAAGCACUUUUGUCCGGAAAGAAAUCCUUGGCUCUAAUACAGUCGGGGGAUGACGGUACCGGAAGAAUAAGCACCGGCUAACUACGUGCCAGCAGCCGCGGUAAUACGUAGGGUGCAAGCGUUAAUCGGAAUUACUGGGCGUAAAGCGUGCGCAGGCGGUUUGCUAAGACCGAUGUGAAAUCCCCGGGCUCAACCUGGGAACUGCAUUGGUGACUGGCAGGCUAGAGUAUGGCAGAGGGGGGUAGAAUUCCACGUGUAGCAGUGAAAUGCGUAGAGAUGUGGAGGAAUACCGAUGGCGAAGGCAGCCCCCUGGGCCAAUACUGACGCUCAUGCACGAAAGCGUGGGGAGCAAACAGGAUUAGAUACCCUGGUAGUCCACGCCCUAAACGAUGUCAACUAGUUGUUGGGGAUUCAUUUCCUAGUAACGUAGCUAACGCGUGAAGUUGACCGCCUGGGGAGUACGGUCGCAAGAUUAAAACUCAAAUGAAUUGACGGGGUCAUAGCUGUUUCC